AUGCAUGUCUAAGUACAAGCCUCAACACGGUGAAACCGCGAAUGGCUCAUUAAAUCAGUUAUGGUUCCUUAGAUCGUACAAUCCUACUUGGAUAACUGUAGUAAUUCUAGAGCUAAUACAUGCAAGCAAGCUCCGACCUUCGGGGAAGAGCGCUUUUAUUAGACCAAAACCAAUCGGGGGCGACCCCGUGCGCUUGGUGACUCUGGAUAACUUUGCUGAUCGAACGGCCUCGUGCCGUCGAUGUAUCUUUCAAAUGUCUGCCCUAUCAAGUCUCGUUGGUAGCCGACAUGGCUACCAAGCUUUUUACGGGUAACGGGGAAUAAGGGUUCGAUUCCGGA
rnacentral:rRNA from 1 species